GACGAACGCUGGCGGCGUGCUUAACACAUGCAAGUCGAACGAAAAAGCCCUGCUUUUGUGCGGUGCUCGAGUUGCGAACGGGUGAGUAACCCGUCAGUAACCUACCGUUGACGUAAGCAUAACUUCAGAAAGCUGGGGCUAAUACCGGAUAGGAGCUACUGCUGCAAGGUGGGCGAUGGAAAGUUUCGGUGGAUGGGGAUGUACUCGCGGCUUAUCUGCUUGCUGGUGGGGUAGUGGAUUAGCAAGGCUUUGACGGGUAGCCUGCCUGAGAGGGUGACCGGACACAUUGGGAUUGAGCUGCGGCACAGACUCGUACGGGAGGCAAGAGUGGAGAAGAGUGUACUAUGGGCGGAAGGCUGAUGCAGCAACGCCGCGUGGGGGAUGAGGUCCAGCGGGUUGUAUCGUGCUUCCGUCUGUGAUGAAGCGAGAGUGACGGUAACGGGUGAAGAAGCACCGGCUAACUACGUG
rnacentral:rRNA from 1 species